rnacentral:misc_RNA from 1 species
GUAGGUGAACCUGCGGAAGGAUCAUUAACACAAAUCUUAACACUUAUCUGGGAUUUUUCCAAAUCCCAGGUAUUUCAACCCCCCUUUUUAAGCGAACACUGUUUGGGAACGCACGUACAUACGCCGUUCCCGCUUUUCUUCUUUUUUCACAAAAAACCCAAUUGAAACAUUCUGACUGAAAAAUUGUUCUACCGUGAAAGCGAUAGAAUACACUAUGAAUUGUGAAAAAACAACUCUUAGCAACGGAUAU